AAUGUCAAUUUGCAAAUAUGGUAGUCACAGGACUUCUGGAAUUCAUGGAGCAGAUAGGAUUCAGAAGAGGAAAAAUCUGUGAAGUGGAGAAAUAAAGAUGCUAGACAACACUAGAAAACAAUGGCACAGUGAGAAAAAAAGAUGGAGAGAAACAAGGAGUGGAAGGAUGCAUGUUCUAUGGAGAGAUGAAAUGAAGGGGAAUGGGAACAGAAACAAGGCUGAUGCUAAGCACAGAAGAAAGCAUCUCAGAAAUAAAAGCUGUCUGCUCCAUAAAUAACUACUUGCACAUCUGUCCUUUCAUUUUAGGUAUUUAUUUUUUACUAGCUCUUCCACUGGUGGUAAACAGUGGAUAAACACUGAACGCUGACUUUGCUAAUGCUCUCUUCUCCCAAAAAAAAAAAAAAAAAAAAAAAAAAAAAAAAAAAAAAAAAGGAACCCAAAAAAAAGAAGCUUUACUCCUUCAGGGACGAACAAAAAGACUAACUGCUCAUAAAACACAAAAGCAAAAGAAAGCAUCACAGGAGAAUUCCUGCAUGGCUGGAAAUAAAACCUAAAAUCACAUCAAAAUUGUUGGCCCAGAGUAAUUUUCAGUGAUCCACAACUGUUAUUUCUCAUGCCAGCUGGGAACAUAAAGAGACUUUAUUAAUGCAUGAUUUCUGCAUCUACCUCAUAUUUCUAACUCAGAAUAAAUUAGAAACAGACUUAAAGGCCCCAUUCCGCAGGAUGAAGUAAACAAAUGUGUUUGACCAUAUAUGCUUUUCAGAAUGAAUUAAAGUCAUGCAGCAUUUGCUCAACUUGCUCACAGCAGACACCUUUCAUUCUGUGCAACAGGCUGUAAGAAGAACAGACAGUACAGGGAAGGCUGCACUUAACCUUCAAAAAACGUCAGUGCCAUCCACUUCUGCCUUCUCCCCAGCACUGCUGUGCCACUGCACUGAACAGCAAAGGAGCUAAGUAGAUUUCUAAACAAUAAAUGCGUGUCUGUGACUCCCACCUGAAAACAUGAUUUCUAUUCAGUGCUGUGUUGCCAGGCAAGAACGCUGAUAUCCCAAAAUUCAACCAUAGUUUGAAGCAGUAAAAAAAAAAAAAAAAAAAAAAACCCCCCCCCCCCCCCCCCCCCCAAAAAAAAAAAAAAAAAAAAAAAAAAAGGGAACUUAAACUUCCUUCUCAUUCCUACCAGAAGUGAUGCUGUAAAGAGAAGCAGAUGUGCCUUGGGAUGCAGUUGAACUAAACAAUUUUUAAAAAUAAACUCAUAAUCUUAUGGCUGGGCCAGCACCCCAAAGCAUAAAUAAUGUCUCUGGAACAUUGUUUACUUGAAAAGAGAGGCUAAAAGCACCACUGAUGCUCAAUUAUUUUCCUAUUUGGUGUGGUGGAUACCUAAAACAUCUUGGCCUCUAUUUUGUUUAUUUUGUAAAUAAA
rnacentral:lncRNA from 12 species